rnacentral:lncRNA from 1 species
GGGCAAUAGCAGGGCCGCAUUCAGGCAGGUCCUGGCAGGGUGGUAGCAGAGCCGUGUUCAGUGGUGACACAGCAGGUCCUGGCAGGGGGAUAGCAGGGCCGUGUUCAGGCAGGUCCUGGCAGGGCGAUAGCAUGGUGGGUGACGGCUGUGGCGGCGCUGUGUGCAGGGCUGGAGCCGCAGGGCAACACGGUGCUGCAGCCGGCGCACUUCACGGUGGAGACGCUGGACGCCGGCAGCGGGGAGGUGCUGGUGUACAUCCAGGACCCCGAGGGGCACACCGAGGAGGCCCAGGUGGUGGCCAACAACGACGAGAAGAAGAGCUUCUCUGUCACCUAUGUCCCCAAAGUGGCGGGGCUGCACAAGGUGACGGUGCUGUUUGGGGGGCAGAACAUCUCUGGGAGCCCCUUUGGGGUGAACGUGGCGAUGGCGCACGGCGAUGCCAGCAAAGUGUCGGCACGCGGCCCCGGCAUCGAGCCCACUGGCAACGUGGCCAACAAGGCCACCUACUUUGACAUCUACACUGCAGGUGGGCGCGGGGGCACUGGGUGGCACUGGGUGGCACUGGGUGACACUGGGUGACACCUGGCCAUGUCCUCAUGCUGGCGCUGGGUGGUGGCACUGGGUGGCACUGAGCGACACUGGAUGGUGGCACUAGAUGGUGGCACUGGGUGGCACUGAGCGACACUGGAUGGUGGCA